GACGAACGCUGGCGGCGUGCUUAACACAUGCAAGUCGAACGGAAAGGCCCUGCUUUUGUGGGGUGCUCGAGUGGCGAACGGGUGAGUAACACGUGAGUAACCUGCCCUUGACUUUGGGAUAACUUCAGGAAACUGGGGCUAAUACCGGAUAGGAGCUCCUGCUGCAUGGUGGGGGUUGGAAAGUUUCGGCGGUUGGGGAUGGACUCGCGGCUUAUCAGCUUGUUGGUGGGGUAGUGGCUUACCAAGGCUUUGACGGGUAGCCGGCCUGAGAGGGUGACCGGCCACAUGGGGACGGGGAAACGGCCCAGACUCCUACGGGAGGCAGGAGGGGGGAAUAUUGCACAAUGGGCGGAAGCCUGAUGCAGCAACGCCGCGUGGGGGAUGACGGCCUUCGGGUUGUAAACCGCUUUCGCCUGUGACGAAGCGUGAGUGACGGUAAUGGGUAAAGAAGCACCGGCUAACUACG
rnacentral:rRNA from 1 species